UACCGGACUAGAGAGCAGGAGAGGGAGGUGGAAUUCCGGGGUGUAGCGGUGAAAUAUGUAGAUAUCCGGAGGAACACCAGUGCAGAAGGCGACCUCCUGGUCUGCCCCAGACGCUCAGACGUGAAAGUUAGGCGAGCGAACGGGAUUAGAAAGUCCGGUAGUCCUAGCUGUAAACGAUGCGGACUUGGUGUGGGUGGCUUAAACUCCAUCAAAACCGUAGCUUAAUCCAUAAGUCCGCCGCCUGGGGAAGGCGGCCGCAAGGUUAAAACUCAAAGGAAUUGACGGGGGCCCGCACAAGCAGCGGAGCUUGUGGUUCAAUUCGAGGCUACGCGAAGAACCAAAUCAGGACUUCACAUUCAAGUAGUAGGGAUUCCAAAGGUGACCGUUCCUUAGGGAAGCAUGCACAGUUGUCACAUGGCUGUCGUCAGCUUGUGUCUUAAUAUGUCCGCUUAAGUCCGGUAACGAGCGCAACCCCAUCGACGUAUUCCAUGUGUCACGUCGGACCGCCCGCAUCAAGCCGGAGGAAGGUGGGGAAGACGUCAAGUCAACCUGGCCCUUAUGUCCUGGGCUACACACACGCUACAAUGGCCGGUACAAUGGGUCGCAAAGCCGUGAGCAGGAGCCAAUCCUAAAAAGCCGGUCUCAGUUCGGAUCGUAGUCUGCAACUCGCCUUCGUGAAGUCGGAGUUGCUAGUAAUCGCAGGUCAGCUAUGGUGCGGUGAAAACGUUCCCGGGCCUUGUACACACCGCCCGU
rnacentral:rRNA from 1 species